rnacentral:lncRNA from 1 species
CGAUUGCGUGCAGGAAUUACCCUAGUGGUUUGGUUGGUUGUGAUCAACAAGAUCGUGAUCAACCACUGGAAUUGGUGUAUCGAUCGCUAAGGCGCAGCGUCCUUGGACGGUUGUAGUCGAAUCGUGAACGUUGCUCCAGAGAGAUCGAAGUUAUCCAUCUCCACCGAAAAGAUCAGGACACCCUCGUUCUUAUUAUGUGGUAUCAAAGCAAGGUUUGAUUGGUGAGAGAUUUUAGUUUGUAAUUUUUUCCUAUAGUCCAGAAAAGCCAAAAAAAUUUUAGUUCCAUUCCCAACAUCCUAUAGACCCAUUGAGCCUUUUACUAGUACUACUUAGUUCAGGCAAGUUGUGUUUGAUUUACAUCGGUCGAGUCGAAUUGCUGGUCUUGGGUUUAGACUUUUAGAGUUUCGAGUUUUUGUCACGUUUAUUCAUUGCCCAUCGUAUAAUCUCCGCUGCAAUCACUAUUACCAUAUACAUUUGGACUACACUAUAUAUCUGAACUACCAUCACCACCCUACUUGGGCACCGUGUAAACUCCAUCCACCACUCUCUUUUCACUCAUGCGCACCCUAUAUUUUUAGGCCAUUGCAUGCACGUUUUCACUUCCACCCGUGAGCAACCUAUUCUUACUCACUGCCACCUGCAUGUUCCUUUCUUCCAUUCAUACAUCCUAUUGUAAGCGCUCUUGCACAUUCUAUAAUCAGCAUCCUAUUUUUAAUCAGCAUCCUAUUGCAACCACUAGAUUCAUUCCACUCUUGGGCAUCUAAUUUUAGAACAUUGCAUCCUUGUCCACUUCAUGCGCAUCCUUUUGCCUCUCCUCCACUCUUCUUUCACAUUCUAUUUUUCUCAUCCCCGUUGCAAUCAGUGUUACUGCAGCAUCAUAUCACCAUCAUAAUCUGCUAGUUGUAUUUUUGUUACACUAAAGACAUUGUGUGUUUUCUGAAAUCUAAUCCAUCAAGAUUUAGAUUUAUUUUAGUUGAGCAAAGUAGGAAAAAAACAGAAAGAAACAAAAAAAUAUCAAAAAAAGAAAAGAAAAAGGAAAGAAAAGAAAAAAAAGGAAAGAAAAGAAAGGAAGAGGAAAAGAAGGGAAGUUAUCUCUUGUUGUUCUUAUUAUUCUUGCGAUAUUGUGACUUCAUCCGUGCCCAGGCUUGCGUCUCUAGCACGGUGUAGCCUAGGACCAGCACAGUGCCACCGUUGAAUGAUUUCUCAACAUGCUUUUGUGACUAAUGUGGUGCUAGUACUUCCUUGUGCAAUAUAUAGAGCCAUCCUAUAACUCCACAUAUCAGACUACAACUUGACAAGUGUUGUUGCUGCAGUGUUGAUACACCAUUUUCUAGGUUUUCUGACUUGUUGGUUCCUGCCACCUCCUGUUUCGCUUGGUGAGAACUUGUGAGAACUUGUUUGCAUAGGGUGAGAGUGAAUUAAUUACAACAACCACAUCCUUGUAGUUGAUAGGAGCAUAAAGAUUAUUGCGUAUGUCUCUUGUUCUGUUCUAAUCGUGGCAGGAAUCCACGUAGAAACA